rnacentral:misc_RNA from 1 species
UACGUAGGGAGCGAGCGUUGUCCGGAAUUACUGGGUGUAAAGGGUGCGUAGGCGGGAUGAUAAGUUAGACGUGAAAUCUUGGGGCUCAACCCCAAGCAUGCGUUUAAAACUGUUAUUCUUGAGUGAAGUAGAGGCAAGCGGAAUUCCUAGUGUAGCGGUGGAAUGCGUAGAUAUUAGGAGGAACACCAGUGGCGAAGGCGGCUUGCUGGGCUUUUACUGACGCUGAGGCACGAAAGCGUGGGGAGCAAACAGG